rnacentral:lncRNA from 1 species
UGAGCGUGUGUGAGGGAGGGAAGGAGCGAGCGGGCGGGCGAGCGAGCAACCCGUGCCGUCAGCCUGCAGCACCAGCCAGGCCCCGCCGCCGCCCCGUCGCUCCGCGCCGAGGCCGGGCCGAGCCGAGCUGGGUCGGGCCCGGGCCAUGCUGCUCACCGUGUACUGUGUGCGGAGGGACCUCUCCGAGGUGACCUUUUCCCUCCAGGUCGACGCCGACUUUGAGCUGCACAACUUCCGCGCUCUGUGUGAGCUCGAGUCCGGCAUUCCCGCGGCUGAGAGCCAGAUUGUCUACGCUGAAAGGCCUCUCACAGACAACCACAGAUCACUGGCGUCUUACGGCUUAAAGGAUGGCGACGUUGUGAUUUUACGACAGAAGGAGAAUGCAGACCCUCGACCUUCAGUGCAGUUCCCAAACUUACCCCGAAUAGACUUCCGUAGCAUAGCUGUGCCUGGCACGUCAAACACCCGGCAGCGCCAGCCACCAGGAGUGCAGCAGUCCCACUCAGCUCCUGGAGAAAUAGCUUCAUCUCCUCAGGGCUUGGACAAUCCAGCCUUGCUCCGAGACAUGUUGCUGGCCAACCCCCAUGAGCUGUCCUUGCUGAAGGAACGCAAUCCACCCUUGGCAGACGCUCUGCUCAGUGGAGAUCUUGAGAGAUUUUCUAGGGUCCUGGUGGAGCAGCAACAGGACCGAGCCCGGAGAGAGCAAGAAAGGAUUCGUCUCUUUUCUGCGGACCCUUUUGAUCUUGAAGCUCAGGCAAAGAUAGAAGAAGAUAUAAGGCAACAGAACAUUGAGGAAAACAUGACAAUAGCCAUGGAAGAGGCUCCAGAAAGUUUUGGCCAAGUAGUGAUGCUUUAUAUCAACUGCAAAGUGAAUGGACACCCUGUGAAAGCCUUUGUUGACUCAGGUGCCCAGAUGACUAUUAUGAGCCAAGCUUGUGCAGAAAGGUGUAAUAUAAUGAGGCUGGUAGACCGUCGGUGGGCAGGAAUCGCCAAAGGAGUGGGCACUCAGAAGAUCAUUGGAAGGGUACAUCUAGCUCAGGUUCAAAUUGAAGGUGAUUUCCUGGCAUGUUCCUUCUCUAUACUUGAGGAGCAGCCCAUGGACAUGCUUCUGGGACUGGAUAUGCUGAAACGGCAUCAGUGUUCUAUUGACCUCAAGAAGAACGUACUCGUGAUCGGCACCACAGGCUCGAAGACCACCUUCCUUCCUGAGGGGGAGUUACCAGAGUGUGCCCGGUUGGCAUAUGGGCCCGGGCGAGAUGAAGUACGGCCAGAGGAGAUUGCAGACCAAGAACUGGCAGAAGCCCUUCAAAAGUCUGUAGAGGAUGCAGAGAAAAGCGGUAAAGAAACUACCUCACUGGGAAUGUCAUCAUUACCAACUUCAGAUGGAUUUAACCAUCAAGCCCAUCCUCCAGGACUGAGUCCUGAGAUUGGUAAUCCUGCAAGUCUUGCUCACUCUGUCUCUGCUUCAGUCAGCCCUAUCCAGCCCAGUGACCCAGACAGCAUUGAACCUAAAGCUAUGAAGGCUUUGAAGGCUUCAGCUGAAUUCCAGAUAACCUCUGAGCAGAAAGAACAUCUUCCUCCACAGGAUCUUUCUGACUGUGCUCCUUCAGCAGACAGUGCUCCAGCAAACCAGAGUCCAGCUAUGCCUUUGCAGAAUUCACUUGAAGAAGCCAUUGUUGCAGACCAUCUAGAGAAAUCUGCUGAAAGAAGCACCCAGGGUCUCAAAUCUCAUCUCCACACAAGACAGGAAGCUAGUUUAUCUGUCACAACUACUGGGAUGCAAGAACCGCAGAGGCUCGCGGGGGAGAGAGGUUGGCACCCAGAAUGUCAGGACCCAAGUCAGGUGAGUGGCCUUCAGCAGCAUGAAGAACCAAGGAAUGAACAGCAUGAGGUUAUACAACAGAGUGCUUCACAUGACCAAGACCAUCUUUGUCACACAGGGGACCUUGAACUUCUUGGAGAAAGGCAACAAAGCAGUGCUGGUUUAGAAGCUGCAAUGGAAGGAGACAGGCUACAGCAAAAUGUGGACCUUCCGGGUAUAGGGAAAGAUGCUCUACCUUCAAGAUGCCUUGGCUGCUCAAAUUCAGAAACACUUAUGGAAGUAGAUAUUGUCGAACAGUCCCUAGUUGCUGUGCGGAAUUCAGGAGGUCAGAAUACCAGUGUCAAGAACAUUGGUGCAUCUGAUCUCAUCUUAGAUAAUCCCUUGAUGGAAGUAGAAACAUCAAAAUAUAACCCUUCCUCUGAAAUUUCGAGUAAUUCCAUUUCUACUCAGGAUUUACAGCUUCUAGAAAGUAAUGUUGAAAUGUCUGAAACAAGUAAAGAAUGCGGGGAUCACCCUUCCUCUUUAGUAAGUCUCUGUGGCAGUUGUCAGCCCUCUAUAGAGUCAACAGAGGAAUCUUGCUCAUCCAUAACGGCAGCCUUGAAGGAACUUCAUGAACUUUUGGUCAUUAGUAGUAAACCAGCUUCAGAAAACACAUCUGAAGAAGGUAUCUGUCAAUCAGAGACAGUAAUUGAGGGCCAAACAGGUAUCAAGGACCUUUCUGAAAGAUGGACCCAAAAUGAACGUCAUAGAGCAACCCAGAGUGAGCAGUGUUCACAGGCCUCCUGUCAUCAGGCUGUAUCUGUAUCAGUGAAGACAGAAGAAUCACCAGACACUUUGGCUGCCGCUAGAGUGGAAGAUGUAGACACUGUUAAUUUGAGGGGUCCAGGUGAUGGCCUGUUAACUGAUAAGGAAGGUGUCCCCAAGCCCAAGGAGUCAGUAAACAAGAGUAGUUCUGUUACUGUAGCCUCAGCAGAAGCGUCUAAUCAACUACAUUGCACCUUAGGUGUAGAGAUUUCACCCAGACUGUUAGCAGAUGAGGAGGAUACGCUCGAUCAGACUUCUGAGCAAACUGAGUCCUCGUCACCCGCUUGCAUCCUGGUUAAAGAUUUGGGUCAGGGCACACAGAAUCCAGUGACAGACAGGCCUGAGGCCGAGGAACAUGUCUGUCCUGAAGCUGCAGGGCAACUUCUAGAAUUUGAACCAUCUACCAGCCAUCCGUCACCAAGUCCCUCCUUCCUUGCACCGUUAAUUUUUCCUGCUGCAGACAUUGACCGGAUUCUCCAUGCCGGCUUUACUUUGCAGGAAGCUCUUGGGGCUUUGCAUCAAGUUGGCGGAAAUGCAGACCUUGCACUUCUUGUCUUGCUAGCAAAGAACAUUGUAGUUCCUACGUAA